rnacentral:rRNA from 1 species
AUUGAACGCUGGCGGCAUGCUUUACACAUGCAAGUCGAACGGCAGCGCGGGGCAACCUGGCGGCGAGUGGCGAACGGGUGAGUAAUACAUCGGAACGUACCCAGAAGUGGGGGAUAACAUAGCGAAAGUUACGCUAAUACCGCAUACGUUCUACGGAAGAAAGUGGGGGACCUUCGGGCCUCAUGCUUUUGGAGCGGCCGAUGUCUGAUUAGCUAGUUGGUAGGGUAAAGGCCUACCAAGGCGACGAUCAGUAGCUGGUCUGAGAGGACGACCAGCCACACUGGGACUGAGACACGGCCCAGACUCCUACGGGAGGCAGCAGUGGGGAAUUUUGGACAAUGGGCGCAAGCCUGAUCCAGCAAUGCCGCGUGAGUGAAGAAGGCCUUCGGGUUGUAAACUGCUUUUGUACGGAACGAAACGGUCUGGGUUAAUACCCUGGGCUAAUGACGGUACCGUAAGAGUAAGCACCGGCUAACUACGUGCCAGCAGCCGCCGUAA